rnacentral:rRNA from 1 species
UGCAAGACCUCGGCAUACUGCUCAGUAACACGUGGACAACCUACCCUACGGAAGGGGAUAACCCCGGGAAACUGGGGAUAAUACCCUAUAGACUAUGGAUGCUGGAAUGCUCUGUAGCCGAAAGGUCCGCCGCCGUAGGAUGGGUCUGCGGCCGAUUAGGUUGUUGUUGGGGUAACGGCCCAACAAGCCUGUAAUCGGUACGGGUUGUGGGAGCAAGAGCCCGGAGAUGGAUUCUGAGACACGAAUCCAGGCCCUACGGGGCGCAGCAGGCGCGAAAACUUUGCAAUGCGGGAAACCGUGACAAGGGAACUCUGAGUGCCCGUAAAAUCGGGCUGUCCAUCGGUUUAAAAAACCGGUGAAGAAAGGGCCGGGCAAGACCGGUGCCAGCCGCCGCGGUAAUACCGGCGGCUCGAGUGGUGGCCACUAUUACUGGGCUUAAAGCGUUCGUAGCUGGUUUGUUAAGUCUCUGGGGAAAUCUUCCGGCUUAACCGGAAGGCGUCUCAGGGAUACUGGCAGACUAGGGACCGGGAGAGGUGAGAGGUACUCCAGGGGUAGGAGUGAAAUCCUGUAAUCCUUGGGGGACCACCUGUGGCGAAGGCGUCUC